GGAUGUGAGGGUGACCUGACUGCGACAUCUGUCACCCUAUUGAUGGCCAGGGUUGAUUGGGCUGAUCUGGCUGGCUAGGUGGGUGUCCCUUCUCCCUCACCGCUCUAUGUGCGUCCCUCCCGAAGCUGUGUGCUUGGUGGAAGAGGACGGUCUUCCCCGAAGACAGACCGGUCUUUGGUCGAGGGUAGCUGUGCUCCCCUGCUAGAACCUCCAAACAAGCUCUCAAGUACAGCUUGAUCCAAAAUACAAAUGAAUGUAUGAUUCUUUU
rnacentral:snRNA from 1 species